rnacentral:rRNA from 1 species
GUCUGUUAACAGAUACCGAAUCCAACGAAACUCUGAAUGCCGCGAAGUCUUAUCCGGGAGUCAGACGGCGGGGGCUAAGCUUCGUCGUCGAGAGGGAAAUAGCCCAGACCGCCAGCUAAGGUCCCUAAGCAGUGACUAAGUGGGAAAGGAAGUGAGAUCGCUUAAACAGCCAGGAGGUUGGCUUAGAAGCAGCCAUCCUUUAAAGAAAGCGUAAUAGCUCACUGGUCGAGCGAUUUUGCGCCGAUAAUAUAACGGGGCUCAAGUCACUUACCGAAGCUGCGGAUUUGCGAUCGGCUCCGGCCGGUCGCAAGUGGUAGAGGAGCGUUGAGUAUAGUUUGAAGCGGGAUCGUAAGGGCCCGUUGACAGUACUCAAGUGACCCUGCCGGCAUAAGUAGCGAUAACGGAGGUGGGAACCCUCCGCGCCGAAAGUCUAAGGUUUCCUGAGAAAGGUUAAUCCGCUCAGGGUUAGUCGGUCCCUAAGGCGAGGCCGAAAGGCGUAGCUGAUGGACAGCUGGUUAAUAUUCCAGCACUACGACGGAGACGUUAUUACGAUGCGGGGACGCAGGAGGAUAGUGGAGUCGGCCUGAUGGCUCAGGCAACGUGCGCAUCAAGGAGGACCUGGCAGGCAAAUCCACCGGGUCGGUUCAAAGCCAACUCUGAGAUGUGUGCCGAAACUGCCCUUCGGGGUGGAUAAGUCCAUGAUUUCACGCUGCCAAGAAAAUCCGCUAAGGAGUCUCCGACGCAGCCGUACCCCAAACCAACACAGGUAGACGAGGUGAAUAUCCAAAGGCGCUUGAGAGAACACUCGCUCAGGAACUAGGCAAAUUAGCACCGUAACUUCGGGAGAAGGUGUGCCUCGCUAGGGUUCAUAGCCCGAGGAGGCCGCAGUGAAAAGCGGUCUGCGACUGUUUAACAAAAACACAGGUCUCUGCAAAGUCGAAAACGACGUAUAGGGGCUGACGCCUGCCCGGUGCCGGAAGGUUAAAGGGAGAGGUUAACCGCAAGGUGAAGCUUCGAACUGAAGCCCCGGUGAACGGCGGCCGUAACUAUAACGGUCCUAAGGUAGCGAAAUUCCUUGUCGGGUAAGUUCCGACCUGCACGAAUGGCGUAACGAUCGUGCGACUGUCUUAACGAGUGACUUGGCGAACUUGUAGUACCGGUGAAGAUGCCGGUUUCCCGCAUCUAGACGGAAAGACCCCGUGCACCUUUACUAUAC